UACAGAGGGUGCGAGCGUUGUUCGGAAUUACUGGGCGUAAAGGGCUUGUAGGUGGCCAACUAAGUCAGACGUGAAAUCCCUCGGCUUAACCGGGGAACUGCGUCUGAUACUGGAUGGCUUGAAUCCGGGAGAGGGAUGCAGAAUUCCAGGUGUAGCGGUGAAAUGCGUAGAUAUCUGGAGGAAUACCGGUGGCGAAGGCGGCAUCCUGGACCGGCAUUGACGCUGAUGAGCGAAAGCUAGGGGAGCAAACGGG
rnacentral:rRNA from 1 species